UACGGGGGGGGCAAGCGUUGUUCGGAAUUACUGGGCGUAAAGGGCUCGUAGGCGGCCAACUAAGUCAGACGUGAAAUCCCUCGGCUUAACCGGGGAACUGCGUCUGAUACUGGAUGGCUUGAAUCCGGGAGAGGGAUGCGGAAUUCCAGGUGUAGCGGUGAAAUUCGUAGAUAUCGGGAGGAACACCAGUGGCGAAGGCGGCGAUCUGGGAAGAUACUGACGCUGAGGUGCGAAAGCGUGGGGAGCAAACAGG
rnacentral:rRNA from 1 species